GACGAACGCUGGCGGCGUGCUUAACACAUGCAAGUCGAACGAGAUUGUUGUAGCAAUAUGACAUGAAAGUGGCGCACGGGUGCGUAACACGUAUGCAAUCUACCUUUGAUUGGGGGAUAGCUUCGAGAAAUCGGAAUUAAUACCCCAUAACAUAAUUGAAUGGCAUCAUUUGAUUAUCAGACUUCCGGGGAUCAAAGAUGAGCAUGCGCAACAUUAGCUAGUUGGUAAGGUAAUGGCUUACCAAGGCUACGAUGUUUAGGGGGUCUGAGAGGAUGAUCCCCCACACUGGUACUGAGACACGGACCAGACUCCUACGGGAGGCAGCAGUAGGGAAUAUUGGUCAAUGGAGGAAACUCUGAACCAGCCAUGCCGCGUGCAGGAUGACGGCCCUCUGGGUUGUAAACUGCUUUUAUACGGGAAGAAAAAGAGCUACGUGUAGCUUAUUGACGGUACCGUAAGAAUAAGGAUCGGCUAACUCCGUGCCAGCAGCCGCCGUAA
rnacentral:rRNA from 1 species